rnacentral:lncRNA from 1 species
CUUGAGACGCAAAUGGCCAUGGGCGUUGCAAGAAAGUCAACCAUAGCAACGAGAAUCGAGAGACUUUUGGAGAAAGUUCGGCGGGGAUUUUAAGAUCCUGAACACUGAUGAUGCCCCAGUGUGGUUGCCGUCAAACUCAACAAUACCUUUGCCACUUAUGCCUUUGGCAACUACCGUGCUGACGUCUCGCUCCAGAAUUGUGUUGGGUUGGAACUUCCUGCAGGAAGCCCUCGGUUCGACAUUACCCUCGUCCUCCUUCGUUAGGUCCAAAUUCCUUGUUCUUCAAUAUGGUCAUGUUUUUCAAACUUUGUCAAACUUAUUGCAGAAGUUAGGAUUGCAUUGUUAAGGUUUACUUAGUUACAUGAUGGAGCACAAGUGUUCACAAAAGAAAAUAUCGGUACUAAUUAAGUUCAAUUAACAAUCUCUUGAUCAACAUGGAUGUUGUUUUCAAGAUGUUGGUGAAAAUAUUGGAUUUUUUUUUUCUUUCUUUUUGGUGAAUGUUUUUUGAGAUUGGAUUAUAGUGAUAUAU